UUUGGCCCCCAAUCAAGCAAGGCUACCCGCUGAACUUAAGCAUAUCAAUAAGCGGAGGAAAAGAAACCAACAGGGAUUGCCCUAGUAACGGCGAGUGAACAGGCAAAAGCUCAGAUUUGAAAGCCUCUCGGGGCAUUGUAUUCUGAAGCCUUGAUUCUGAGAACCGGUACCUAAGUCUUCUGGAAAGGAGCGCCAAGGAGGGUGAUAGCCCCGUACGGUACUGACCUCAUUGUAGAAUCUUGGCGUGGAGUCGAGUUGUUUGGGAAUGCAGCUCAAAUGGGUGGUAUGCUCCAUCUAAAGCUAAAUAUCUGCGAGAGACCGAUAGCGAACAAGUACUGUGAAGGAAAGAUGAAAAGAACUUUGAAAAGAGAGUGAAAAAGUACGUGAAAUUGUUGAAAUGGAAGGAUAGGCCGCUAACCACGUAGAGCCGUGUCUGAGGGGAGGAUAAAAGCUGUAGAAUGUGGCUCUUCGGAGUGUUAUAGCUGCAGUCCAUACUCCCACUCGGGCGCGAGGACCUAAGGCUCUGCUAAAUGGUGGUCUAUCAC
rnacentral:rRNA from 1 species